GAUAACUGUACCAAAUGUAGAGCUAAUACGUGGGUUUUAUUUUUAAAACGUUUGUUUUUUAUCUCUCUUGGGCAUAGCUUAUCCUUUUUUUGAUGAUUUAUAGUAACAAUAACAAUCAAUUUGUUUGAUUAUCCUUAUAAGUGUCUAACCUAUCAACUAUCNAUGGUAGGGUGUUGGCCUACCGUUGUUUUUACGGGUAACGGGGAAUUAGGGUUUUAUUCCGGANAGGGAGCUUUAAAAAUGGCUACCACAUCUAAGGAAGGCAGCAGGCGCGUAAAUUACCUAACUUUAAUAUAAAGAGGUAGUGAAUAACAAUAUCAGCAAAGUGCAUUAUAAUGCUCUUUGACUGGAAUGAACAAAGUGUUUAUAUCUUUGUGAUAAUCAAUUGGAGGGCAAGUCUGGUGCCAGCAGCCGCGGUAAUUCCAGCUCCAAUAGCAUAUAUUAAAGUUGCUGCAGUUAAAACGCUCGUAGUUGAAAUGAUGAACUGUUAUUGUUUCUUGUUUAUUANAUGAGAAAUAUACCUUUUCUUUUUGUUGACAUUUAAUUAUGUUAACUGUGUUAUACUCUGAUUAAAUGGNANUGUUCAUUGCAAAUCGCUUUGAAUUCUAUAGCAUGGNAUAUGUAAAAAUGGUUGGAACAUUANGNGUUUAANGGNUNUGUUCCAAAUAAUAAAUAUAUAAAAANUGUUUAGGGCACUCAUACUUAACUGCUAGAGGUGAAAUUCUUAAAUCAUUACAGAUNCACAAUUGCAAAAGCAUUUGCCUGGCAAGUUUUUAUUGAUCAANCACGAAAUUUANGGGUUCAAANAUGAUC
rnacentral:rRNA from 1 species